GGGCCAUUAGCUCAGUUGGUCAGAGCUCCCGGCUCAUAACCGGUCGGUCCUGGGUUCGAGUCCCCGAUGGCCCACCA
rnacentral:tRNA from 1 species